GCCAAGCACAGUGGCGCAUGCCUGUAGUCCCAGCUACUUGGGAGGCUGAGGUGGGAGGAUUGCCUGAGUCCAGGAAUUUGAGGCUGCAGUGAGCCAUGAACGUACCACUGCACCCCAGCCUGGGCAACAGAGCAAGACCCUGUCUCUU
ensembl:misc_RNA Metazoa_SRP Metazoan signal recognition particle RNA